AAUAGAUACCCAGGUAGUCCACGCCGUAAACGAUGAAUACCAGGUGUAGGAGGGUCCAACCUUCUGUGCCGCCGUUAACACAUUAAGUAUUCCGCCUGGGGAGUACGGUCGCAAGAUUAAAACUCAAAGGAAUUGACGGGGGCCCGCACAAGCAGCGGAGCAUGUGGUUUAAUUCGAAGCAACGCGAAGAACCUUACCUAGACUUGACAUCUCCUGAAUUACCGGUAAUGCGGGAAGCCCUUCGGGGCAGGAAGACAGGUGGUGCAUGGUUGUCGUCAGCUCGUGUCGUGAGAUGUUGGGUUAAGUCCCGCAACGAGCGCAACCCUUAUUGUUAGUUGCUACCAUUAAGUUGAGCACUCUAGCAAGACUGCCGGGGUUAACUCGGAGGAAGGUGGGGAUGACGUCAAAUCAUCAUGCCCCUUAUGUCUAGGGCUACACACGUGCUACAAUGGCGAGUACAACGAGAGGCAAAGCCGCGAGGCGGAGCAAAACUAUAAAACUCGUCCCAGUUCGGAUUGCAGGCUGAAACUCGCCUACAUGAAGCCGGU
rnacentral:rRNA from 1 species